rnacentral:tRNA from 1 species
GGGGCUGUGGUGAAAUUGGCAGCCACGCCAGAUUUAGGUUCUGGUUCCUUACGGAGUGCGAGUUCGAGUCUCGCCAGCCCCACCA